rnacentral:rRNA from 1 species
AUUGAACGCUGGCGGCAUGCUUUACACAUGCAAGUCGAACGGUAACAGGCCGCAAGGUGCUGACGAGUGGCGAACGGGUGCGUAAUGCAUAGGCACGUGCCCAGACGCGGGGGAUAACGCCGCGAAAGCUGUGCUAAUACCGCAUACGAUCUGUGGAUGAAAGCGGGGGACCGAAAGGCCUCGCGCGAUUGGAGCGGCCGAUGGCGGAUGAGGUAGUUGGUGGGGUAAAGGCUCCCCAAGCCAACGAUCUGUAGCUGGUCUGAGAGGACGACCGGCCACGCGGGGACCGAGACACGGGCCAGGGUCCGACGGGAGGCAGCAGUGGGGGAGAUUGGACAAAGGAAGGAAGCCUGAUGCAGCAAUGCCGCGUUCAGGAAGAAGGCGUUCGGGUUGUAAACUGCUGUUGUACGGAACGAAACGGCCCCUUCUAAUACAGGAGGCUAAUGACGGUACCGUAAGAAUAAGCACCGGCUAACUACGUGCCAGCAGCCGCAGUAACAC